rnacentral:lncRNA from 10 species
AGUAAGGAAGAGUAUGUCUGCAAUACAGAAGAGCCCUUAGGGCAUUUCAGGAUUACCAUGCAACGUGGUUAAGGUCAACAGAAAACUACAACAGCCCAAUCCAGGCAACAUUACACUACUAACAUCUCAAAAUCUUAUAGAGUGAAGAUUUGGAUCACUUAACCAGUUACAGGGUAUCAAGGAGAAGAAUAAACAUCACCCAAGAACUUUUCUUUCUUUUCUGAGGAAAGGUCUCCGGCCUUUGCACUUGGACUAGAAUUCUAUCAUUGGCUCUCCUAUGUCUCCACCUUGCCAAAUGAAGAUCUUGGGACUUCUCAGACUUCAUAAUCAUGUAGUAAGAAGAAUCUGGUUCCUGUUACUCCAUCUUGAUUAGAAAUAGAAAUUCCCACAAUCUAUUUUGACCCCUGUUUUAUAGCUUCAAGGUAAUGUAAGUAAUACAAUUUUUAAAUAAAUGGUGUCAUUGAUCAAGAUUUUUAGUCAAAUUUUGCUAUUCUCAUUCUCUUUUUUUGUUUUUUUUUCGUUUUGUUUUUGAGACGGUGUCUCGCACUGUCGCCUGGGCUGGAGUGCAGUGGUGCUAUCUCGGCUCGCUGCAGCCUCCGCCUCCUAGGUUCAAGCGAUUCUCCUGUCUCAGCCUCCCAAGUAGCUGGGAUUACAGCUGCCAGCUACCAUGCCUGGCUAAUUUUUUGUAUUUUUAGUAGAGACGGGGUUUUACUAUGUUGACCAGGUGGGUCCCGAACUCCUGACCUUGUGAUCCACCUGCCUCGGCCUCCCAAAGUGUUGGAAUUACAGGAAUAAGCCACCAUGCCCAGCCUAUUUUUCUUAUAUUAUGUCAUUCAGGGACUGUGUCCUUUGAUUCUAACCAAUGCAGGAUUUUUUUUAUCCAUAUGUAUCGAACAAGGUCAAUAAUAAAAGAAAUGAUUGAAUUUGCAUUGGAAAAUAAAUAUUUCCUUCUCCUCAUACUUCUUGGAGAAUGUUUUAAC